rnacentral:lncRNA from 1 species
UCAACACUCGAACGAUUGCUACUUGGAACCUCAUAGCCAACAGGAAAGCAGUCCUCUUCGUCCCCAAACCAAUCCUAGCCUCGCUCCAUUCUCUACAUUAGAUCAUCUCAAACUAAAAAGCCGUCACACCCUGCUCAUCAGAAAUUCAAAGCUGUUGAUGGGAAGAUCAUUCUGAUAGCUGAAGAUGCUGAGAAGAAGAAGAGUAACCACGCAGAGUCAAUCUCAGAAUCUAGGUUUUCAUUGUUGAUGGUGGCAAAACUUGACGGGCAAGAUAAUUCUGCAGUUACAGGGCUUUCUCUUGUGGAUUUGAUAAUCUCUUCUCAGGUAACAAUGAUGGGUUCU